rnacentral:tRNA from 1 species
GGGUGUGUAGCUCAGGUGGUUAGAGCGCUACGUUCACAUCGUAGAGGUCGCUGGUUCGAGUCCAGCCACACCCACCA